ACAGGCAUGAUAUCUCAGGCAAAAAUUAGUCUAAGAUGAGAUAUACUGUCUUUCCAUGCAGGAUGAUAAGAUAUCUUGUCUUAGAUUGUUUAUUGCGCACAUCGGGGGAUCGUGAAGAUUUUAUUGGUGAGUAAGUAUACUCGGAAGGGCAAUGAUGAAUAUUAAAUAAUCGGACAUAGUACGAUAAGGUUGUAUGUCUAAAGGGAAACAGCCCAGAACAAGAGUUAAGGUUCCUAAAUUAAUGUUAAGUGAAAUUAAGGUAGUUUCUAUUAAAUACGACUAGAAAGUAGGCUUAGAAGCGGCCAUUUUUUGAAGACCUCGUAACAGAGCACUGGUUUAGUAAGUAGUUCACUAUUUACAUUGAUAGAAGCACCGAAAAUAUAUCGGAUCUAAACAAUAUACCGACACCUUGUUCAUAUUUAUAAAUAAAAAAAAAAAAAUAAAGCUGAUAAUGCAUGCUGAUCUUCUAUAAAAAUUUUAAGGGGAAAAUCCUUUUUUUCGUCGGCUGCACAGCGCGCAGCUAGCUAGCUAAUAUUAUUAGUUUUUAUUAUAAAUAAGAGGUAGCAAAACGUUAGGUAGAUCUCACGAUUUAAUCUUUUCAAGAUUAAAAAAGAUAGAAUAUCCUAAGUGAUAAGGCUGACAUGAGUAACGAUAAAGGGGCUGCUUUCGAA
rnacentral:rRNA from 1 species